rnacentral:rRNA from 1 species
AACGUACCCUUUUCUACGGAAUAGCCUCGGGAAACUGAGAGUAAUACCGUAUACGCCCUUCGGGGGAAAGAUUUAUCGGAGAAGGAUCGGCCCGCGUUAGAUUAGGUAGUUGGUGGGGUAACGGCCUACCAAGCCUACGAUCUAUAGCUGGUUUUAGAGGAUGAUCAGCAACACUGGGACUGAGACACGGCCCAGACUCCUACGGGAGGCAGCAGUGGGGAAUCUUAGACAAUGGGGGCAACCCUGAUCUAGCCAUGCCGCGUGAGUGAUGAAGGCCUUAGGGUCGUAAAGCUCUUUCGCCUGUGAUGAUAGUGACAGUAGCAGGUAAAGAAACCCCGGCUAACUCCGUGCCAGCAGCCGCGGUAAUACGGAGGGGGUUAGCGUUGUUCGGAAUUACUGGCGUAAAGCGCGCGUAGGCGGAUUAGAAAGUUGGGGGUGAAAUCCCGGGGCUCAACCCCGGAACUGCCUCCAAAACUGCUAGUCUAGAGUUCGAGAGAGGUGAGUGGAAUUCCGAGUGUAGAGGUGAAAUUCGUAGAUAUUCGGAGGAACACCAGUGGCGAAGGCGGCUCACUGGCUCGAUACUGACGCUGAGGUGCGGAAGUGUGGGGAGCAAACAGGAUUAGAUACCCUGGUAG